UUACUUUUAUUAUUGUUGUGUAUCUAUCCCGUUUUUCAUUAUCAGGAAAAGGGGGGGAAAACAAAAAAAUCAAAGAAGAACCCUAACAUCGUCCUUCCAUAUUCUAUUCUCAAAUCAGAUUUUGGAUUGGUGUGAUUUUUUAGGGCAUUAAUGGAGUGAAGCAUAAGAAAGUGGUGAGAGUCCCUGUAAGACCAGAAAAAGCAGAGAGGACACAACCAAUGGCGUCUGCAGAUAAACGAUUGGAAGAACAACUUCUCGAAGCCGGUAACAAGCUCGCAAACCCUCCGUCUUCUGCAGAGGAGCUUCUCUCACUCUUAGAGCAAGUAGAAAGUUGCCUGUCAAGGGUUGAACAGUCACCAACAGUUUCUAUGCAAAAUGCACUCUCUCCAUCAUUGAAAGCAAUGGUUGGUGACCAACUUUUAAGGCACUCAGAUAAUGAUGUCAAGGUUGCGGUUGCCUCUUGCAUCAGUGAAAUAACAAGAAUCAGUGCACCUGAUGCUCCUUAUGACGAUGAUCAAAUGAAGGAGGUCUUUCACUUGAUAGUAUCUUCACUUGAAAAUUUGCAUGACAAGUUAAGUCGAUCAUAUGCCAAGAGAAUCUCAAUUCUGGAAACUGUUGCAAAAGUCCGAUCCUGUGUGGUAAUGCUGGACCUUGAAUGUGAUGCCCUGAUUUCGGAUAUGUUUCAACAUUUCUUGAAAGGUGUAAGGGAACAUCAUCCAGAAAAUGUUGUUUUGUCCAUGGAAACAAUUAUGACCGUUGUUGUCGAGGAAAGUGAAGAUAUAUCCUUAGCCUUGCUGUCCCCACUACUGGACAGCAUUAAGAAAGACAAUGAGGAAGCUUUUCCAAUUGCCCAAAAAUUGGGGGAGAGGGUUCUUGAAAAUUGUGCAACCAAGCUUAAACCCUACUUGGUUCAAACAGUGAGAUCCUUGGGUGUAUCUGUUGAUGAUUAUAGUGCUGUGCUUGCUUUAAUAUGCCAAGAUACAUCUGAUGAUUUGGAAAAGAAUGAUACAUGUGUGACUAGUGAGCAUGCGGAAGAUAAGAGCGAUUCAGAAAAACAGUCACUGGAGAAGUCAACACAUGUGGUUAAAAAGGAUUCAAGGGAAGUUACAUCCUCUCAACGAGGAAAUCCUGAUGCAAAUAAAUCUCCUAACUCAGGCAUGAGCUAUGGUAUUGCAUGUGUUGGAGAAGAUACUGCUUUAGCUUAUUCCAAUCCCAUUAAAAAGAAAGAGGAUGCUGAUUGUUCCAACCACUCUGAAGGUUUGAAUAUAUCUGGUCAUGAGGUGGGUAGUGAUUUGGACACCAAAAAGGUUGACAAUAGUAAACAAAAGGCAGGAAAAGCUACCAAGAGACCACGAAAGAAAUCAAGCUCUUCUACUAAAUUGGCAAAACCUUCCAAGGAUCAAGUUGCUGCUAAUGAGAAGGAAGCUGUGAAAAUGCUUGACUGUGAAAGCAACAGUAAGAUAGUUCCCAGUUCCCCUCACAAGGAACAUUUUGUUGAAGCAGCAGGACCUUCAGACAGUAAUAAAGAAAUGGAUGCUAAGAUUUCAUCACCAGUGGCAGUAAAUGACGAAUCUGAAGUGGUUGCUUCUGCUCCAAGUGAGAGCCUCAAUGAUGAAAAUCGCUUGAAGAAACUUGGACGAUCAACAAAGGAAGAUGACUCUGUAAAAGAAGGCGCUGCAUAUGAUGUUUCUAAGGUGUCUGGAGGAGCUAGUGAUUCAGAAGCCAAACCUGUGACGCGGUCAGUGAAAAAGGCACUAGGUCAAAAGUCUUUGAAAAAAACUAGUGUGGUAGAUUCUGUAAAAAAAGAAAGUGGGGCAAUAAAUAAUGCAGAUGCUAAGAAAUACUCAGCAAAGAAAUUAGAAGAAAACAAAAAGGGUAGUGGUGGAUCCUCCUCUAGGCAGGCGGAAGACAGGAAAAAAGGAGGGCGUGGAAAAGCUAAGACUGAGACAGAUGUAGCAAAGUCAUCUGCUAUGAAUGUGGACAAAGAAAUAGUUACUACUCCGAGGUCUUGUACAAAAUCUGCCAAAGAUGCAAGUUCAGAGGAGACUCCCAAGGCAAAUGUGAAAAGGAAACUUACUUCAGGAAAAGAAAAUGAGUAUGAUACAAAGGAAUGUGGUGAAAACCUUGUCGGUUUACGGGUCAAAGUUUGGUGGCCUAAGGAUCGUGAGUUUUACAAGGGUAUUAUUGAUUCUUUUGAUUCUGCAAAAAAGAAGCACAAGGUAUCGUAUGAUGACGGUGAUGAAGAAAUAUUAAAUCUAGGGAAGGAGAAAUGGAAGGUCAUUGAAAAGGAUUCAGAUGCAGAUGAGGAAGAUCGGAGUGAUCGUGCAAGUCUUGAUGCUUCCAUUGAUAUGCAACCAAAGAAGAAAGGGAAAACAAGUGAUGGUGAAACCACCAAGCAGGGAAAGAUGGAUGUUUCUUCCAAAAGUGGUGGAAUAAAGACGAAUAGUAGAUCAAAAAGUGUAUCCCUGAAGUCUAGUCAAAGGUCCACAGAUGGCAACAAAUUGAAAGAUUCCAUGACAAAUAGCAAAUCUGAGGAUGGAGUUAAUAAAAAAUCUAAGGAAGACACUCCUAAAAGUUCUAGCAGUAAAUCCAUUGUUGCUACUAAAAUACUGAGUAAGAAAUCGAAAAAUACUGAUACUUCCAGGACUGGGGAAUUAAAUGAUGACUACAGUAGUGUGCCAAAGACGUCUUCCAAGUCUAAGCUAGAAAUUCUAAAAAGUGGAAAAUCCAAGAAAACAACCCCAAAGACUGCCGUUUCCAAAGAAAAACCUCUCAAAAGUGGUGGAAAGGCUGAUGUUAAUGGUACCGGCAAGGUGAAAUCUGAUUUAUUGAAGAUAAAAUAUUUUGAGAAUGAUAAUUCAGAUGUUUCAGAAGGAAAGCUAAAAGAUGCCAAGGUAAAGACUUCAAUUUCGUCUAAGGCACAAGGAAGUAAGGUCAAGAGUGGAAAGAAGCGUAGGAGAAGCUAGAUGUUGGAGUUUUUCAUGCUGUUUAUUCCUUAAUUGGGUGCUUUUAUUCGUAUCCUCAUAGCAUUUAACUCUUCUUUCUGUGGCUGGAGUGAUCAAAUGAGUUUAAGCAUGUAUAAGCAUAAUUGAUGUGGUGGAAGCUAUUAAAGUUGGUCAGUUGGGGACCCUAACCCUUUGUCUGGUGAUUGGUAGAGAAAAUGUGGGAAGAGAUGAAAGAAAUCAAUGGGGGAAAGAAGUAUUAACUUAUCAAGGGAAGGUGAAAAUUGAAAGGAAAGAAAUGAGAUAUUUUUUAUAUGUACCUCUUCUCUUAUUCUUCAUAAGUAAGAAUUGCAUGCUCUUUUUAAUUACACUCAAAUUUAGGUGGUACUCAUUUUAUUCAAAUCAAAUACCCUUUUUUUUCUCA